AUCGGUCAUUUCAUUUCUGGCUCCGCUCCUCUUCCCAUGGCGGCGGCAUCUAAUCCCCCUAACCUGCUUGCCAUUUCUGUAGGACCACACUGUUCAUUCCUCUUCCUAAAAUAGCUCCCUUUCACUGCAAACCAAAGUAGAGAAGAAAGUGAAUCUAUUUUAGGAAGAGAAUGAACACUGUGUUAUCCCCCUCGGAGAUUCCUGCUUGUUAUUAACUCAUUUCAUCUUUACCAGGAUUUGUGCUUGGUACUCAGAUUGGGUUUGAAAGCAGAAAAAUGUGCUUUUUCAUUUUCCAAUAUAAAGAUUGCUUAUUUCCCCCAAUUGCUCUUCUGUUAUUUUUGUUUGCAGGCGAUGAAGCGACUGAUUCCUAUUAGAUCUGCUGGGUAUUCUCGAUUCCCUUGUUUAUUGUAUUGGGUUAUUUCAUUUUUGUCUUGCUAGGUUGAAAAGCAUGUUAAUUUUCCCAGGAAAUGGUUCUGUUUUCUGGUAAUAGGAUUGGUGAAGAGACAUAGAUCCAGUUGAGAUUGUAUAUAUGAAGAUGCCUUUGGCAAUAUGGUUUGCUGGUGAAAACGAAUUGUCUGUGGGGAAUGUUUGAAUGUAAUAUAGUUAAAUAAUUGCAUCCAAGCUUAUAUGUUUGAAUGUAAUAUAGUUAAACUUUAGCUGCCAAUAGCUGGUAACCAUUCUCUAUUUGCUGUCAUGCCAGUUUGUUUUUUGUCUUGGAGUUGCACAAAGCUGAAAGAUGCUGUUCAUUUCACAAUUGUAUUUGUUGCUCCAUCCUUUGUGUUUUUGUCUACUUUGCUACACAGGAAACAAUGGUUGGAUUCAUGAAAUCAGCUUUCUCUAUAUCUAAAUUUGUUUACUUCCAUGUAGUGACUUGGCAGGCUCAUGAUUCCUUAGUCCUUAACAUGCACAACUCUUGUAUGUACAAUAGCUUGAAUGAUAAGAAGCUCUGUAAUCUGUAUCCGCUUAAGCAAAAGUCCAUUUAAGCAACAUGUUACAACGUACAAUAGCUAUUUUAGAUGAAGUCUCUCCGCAUAACACAGCUGGACUAUUUGAUUUGAUAGAUAGUGGGAAAGAAAGAACAGGAUUGUGUAUGUGUAUUCUUGGUUUCAUGCACUUACUUGGCUUCUAUUUGUUUGUCAACAGCAUGUUUCGUCUGGCCGUUGCUGUUAUCAUCUACGCCAGUAGUCGAUGACUGAUGUUUCUUCGCCCUUAUAUCCUUGAUGACUUUAUGCACAGCGCCUAGUAAUUUUUUCAUCUUGGGUUUCCUGUGGUGGAGAUCUUCUGCUGUAUUUGUACUUUCUGCUCUGCUUUGAAUGACUGGAGAUGGUGGUUCAUCAUCACCAUUUUCACCGCAGUACUUCUCAAGUUUGGCAUACUUCAUUGGACGAUUCAUAUGCUGCUUUCACCAAACACUUUUGAGUAGUACAGAGAAACCUGGAACUGUCCUUAACAUUUUUAUAGGUUAUUUUAACUGAGGAUAAGACGUUGCUUAGGACAAUAUAAUUAGUUAUAAUAGUAUUCUAGCCUAGUGGUAGGACAUCGUAGAAGCGAAGUUUAAGAGAUGCCAAUCAUUGAGUAUAUACUUAGAAGACCUCGGGCUUCUAUUUUGGCGUCAUACAGAUAACUGUAGUAUAUGGAUUCAACCAAAUUUUUACAUAUAUGACUCUUCCAGUGGAUACAAACUGAUCUAAAUCUCAUUUUUAGCAAAUUUCUUUCUGUUGCUUACA
rnacentral:lncRNA from 1 species